UAAUUGUUUCUCGUAUUCAUUGUCUUCUUAAUAUUUUCGAUCCGUCUUCGUGCAAACGAAUCAAUUAGGAAUUUUACUAAUUUUUCUCUCGACAUGUUGCGAGCGACGAUAGAAGCGCCGCGUUGCGUCGAUUCGAAAGUUCGUGUCGUCUGUUCUUCAAUUCAAUUUAUUCAAUCGAUCAACGCUCGAGAAAUAAUUAUUUUAUUUUAUAUCCGAAUUUUAAAAAAUACCGAAUCUUUCAAACCUCUUCAAUAAAGGACGUUGUGAAAUUAGGCCUAACUUCAAAAAUGUCGUCUGUUUUCGCAAAACGAAUAGUGUUACGAAUGACUUUUGUACACGUACCUUCGCACAGAAAUCCCAAUGGGUAGAAUGGUAUCCAGAUGGUGUAUCUCAGCCAUGUCAGAAUGCCAAUGUCCACGCUAUAUGUUCUAAGCAUGUAAUAUGGAUAUCUGAAAUUAUCAAAUAAACAUUAAUAAAAUCUAUAUAAAA